rnacentral:rRNA from 1 species
CAGCCGCCGCGGUAAUACGAAGGGUGCAAGCGUUAAUCGGAAUUACUGGGCGUAGAGGGUGCGUAGGCGGUGAGUUAAGUCUGUUGUGAAAUCCCCGGGCUCAACCUGGGAAUGGCAAUGGAUACUGGCUCGCUAGAGUGUGAUAGAGGAUGGUGGAAUUCCCGGUGUAGCGGUGAAAUGCGUAGAGAUCGGGAGGAACAUCAGUGGCGAAGGCGGCCAUCUGGAUCAACACUGACGCUGAAGCACGAAAGCGUGGGGAGCAAACAGGAUUAGAUACCCGGGUAGUCCCUGUCUCUUAUAC